rnacentral:lncRNA from 1 species
AACUCUUGGAAAGUGGAAGAAUUGAAGUGAUGAGAAAAUGGGAGGAAGGGCCCCUAUUUAUAAAAAUGGGGGUAAUUGGAUUUAUGUUUAGUGCCGAAAUCUGGUGAAGUGAGAGAGCGUUGAAAAUGGAAGAGAUGUUUGAUUUGACACGGCACAAAAAAAUAGAGGAGAAUUCUCCUCCACCAGCGGUGGCACAUUGCUUGAGGUG